AGCAGCCGCGGUAAUUCCAGCUCCAAUAGCGUAUAUUAAAGUUGUUGCAGUUAAAAAGCUCGUAGUUGAAUUUCGGGGUCAGUAGGUCGGUCGUGCCACUGGUAUGAACUGGUUUCACUGAUUCUUCCCUCUUGUAGAACCGUGAUGCCAUUAAUUUGGUGUUGCGGGGAAACAGGACUGUUACUCUGAAAAAAUUAGAGUGUUUAAAGCAAGCUAACGCUUGAAUACAUUAGCAUGGAAUAAUGAAAUAGGACGUCUGUCUUAUUUUGUUGGUUUCUAGGAUGGACGUAAUGAUUAAUAGGGAUAGUUGGGGGCAUUAGUAUUCAAUUGUCAGAGGUGAAAUUCUUGGAUUUAUUGAAGACUAACUACUGCGAAAGCAUUUGCCAAGGAUGUUUUCAUUAAUCAAGAACGAAAGUUAGGGGAUCGAAGACGAUCAGAUACCGUCGUAGUCUUAACCAUAAACUAUGCCGACUAGGGAUCGGAUGAUGUUAAUUUUUAAUGUACUCAUUCGGCGCCUUAA
rnacentral:rRNA from 1 species